UGUGGUGCUAAGGAUGUAGCUCAGUGGUAGAGUAUUUGCCUAACACGCAUGAGGCCCUGGGUUUGAUCCCCAGCACCACAA